rnacentral:rRNA from 1 species
UACGAAGGGGGCUAGCGUUGUUCGGAAUUACUGGGCGUAAAGCGCACGUAGGCGGAUCGAUCAGUCAGGGGUGAAAUCCCAGGGCUCAACCCUGGAACUGCCUUUGAUACUGUCGAUCUGGAGUAUGGAAGAGGUGAGUGGAAUUCCGAGUGUAGAGGUGAAAUUCGUAGAUAUUCGGAGGAACACCAGUGGCGAAGGCGGCUUACUGGUCCGGUUCUGACGCUGAGGCGCGAAAGCGUGGGGAGCAAACAGG